rnacentral:lncRNA from 1 species
GUGAACUGUUUUCUAUGUAUAGCUUGUGUAAGGGUAAGUUGUGAGGAUAAUGGGAACGUGGCAGAUUAUUUAAAAUCAUACUGAAAAUGGCAGUUUAUCUAACAAAAGUGAUUCUAAACCAUAGGAAAAUGAUUCAAGACACAGAAGAGCUGCGGCUGUGGGUAGGGGACUCCUAUAGAUGCAACGUAAGGAACCUUUCUCCCUGCAGUUGCAGGACCCUUCAGUGCUGAUGCAGAUGAUGCCGCAGUCCUUAAAUUCUCUUAACAUACAAUUUCUCAUAUGUUGGCUUUUUCAGAUCACCCUUUCUGCGAGAAUGGCUCUCGACAACUGGGUAAGUUUGGUUUUGUUUUUGUUUUCCUUGCUAUUGCACAUAGUCUGCCAGGUCAGGACAUGGAUGUGUUUUUUCCCCCACAGUUCUAUGCUCAAGCCUUGUGGAGGGAGAUGGCAGAGAGAAAGGCUGCCUGCAAGCAGUGCAGAUGGAAAUGAUGGAAAAACAGAGUGUGCCAGAGAGACACAUGAGUCAGGAGCCAGCUCAAAGUCAAUGGGGCCUAGAAAACCCUUUCUGGAGAGGUAGGAGCUCGCGUGAAGGCAGCUACUUAACUUCUGCUGCACAAUCCACACACCGUGCUUCUCCUUUUGGAG